GGGGGGGGAGAGAGAGAGAGAGAGAGAGAGAGAGAGAUGGAAAACAAUGUUCGCGUAUUUCGGUAUGUAGAUAUUUACAUAAUUAUAUCUUCAUAAAUAAAACUGAUUUAUAACUAAAUACUUGCAACGAAUUAUUCAAUUAUAGAUACUAUAAUACAAUCACUAUACAAUAUUUUUACUGUACAAGGCUUCUUCCUCUCCGUUUUUUCCAUUUGUGCAAAUUUGAUAAUAAACCCAUGGAAAAAUAUUUCGUAAUAAUCCACUAAUACCAGUAUCAAAUUGUUCAAAUAUUGAUUAAGAAUGUUGAUAAAGAUCUUUGGUCAUUGGUUUCAUGGAAUACUGUUGCUUUUUGGAGAUCUUUCUGGAUUCUUUCUAAUCAUCAGUCUGAAAAAAUAGAAUUUUCGAUAAAUUAAAAUGAAAUAUUUAAACUCAAUUUUUCAAAGUAUCACAAUCUAUAAAUUUAGAUGCUUGUGUUAUUUGUAAAAUAAUCAAAAUUUAUUUUAUGUGCAGUAGUAUAUAUUUCAAAGUGAGCAAGUAUAAUAUAACGAGUAAUCUUGCCUUGUCUCGCUUUAAGUAUGUGAUAAAUCAAUAAAGAAAGUAAAAAUAA